rnacentral:rRNA from 1 species
CCUACGGGAGGCAGCAGUGGGGAAUAUUGCACAAUGGGGGAAACCCUGAUGCAGCGACGCCGCGUGAGUGAAGAAGUAUCUCGGUACGUAAAGCCCUAUCAGCAGGGAAGAAAAUGACGGUACCUGACUAAGAAGCCCCGGCUAACUACGUGCCAGCAGCCGCGGUAAUACGUAGGGGGCAAGCGUUAUCCGGAUUUACUGGGUGUAAAGGGAGCGUAGACGGCAGCACAAGUCUGGAGUGAAAUCCCGGGGCUUAACCCCGGAAAUGCUUUGGAAACUGUGCGGCUGGAGUGCAGGAGGGAGUAGCGGAAUUCCUAGUGUAGCGGGGAAAUGCGUAGAUAUGAGGAGGGACACAGGUGGCG